rnacentral:lncRNA from 1 species
UGUGUUUUAUUCUUUUUUUUAUUAUUUUUUUUACAGAGUGAAGAUCUUUCUGUUACUGGAUCUCAGCACCAUCAGCUGGGAUUGCUUAAAGAGAUGCCAUGGCUCUGGGAACGGGGUGUGUGCGCCAAAAAAGCACCAAGGAGGAACUGGAGCCUUGGCAGGACCGGGAGGGUGCCCAGAGAAGCUCUGCAAGCAGAAUGAGUGCCUUCACCCCUCUGUCAUCACCAGCCCCUGAGAGCAAUCACCACCCACCAACAGUUCCUGGAGAUAAGGCCGAGCCAGCUGGGAGAAGAAAGCCUUUGAUAUUCCCUGCCUUGCUGACUGCGUUUCUCACAGCUCACGUCUGGAGUGGGCCAGGGGAGGUGGCUGGACACGAAAGAAUAACACUGAUGGGGGAUGCAGGGAAGGUGUUAAUCUUCUGCCAUGUGUGUAGGUUAUUUGUUUCCUUCAGGAAACUUCUGGACAAAUUAGGUAGUUUUGCUUUACACAGGAGACCUAGUUUGGUGUCCAGGUGAAUGUCUGUUGAAUUGGGAAUUUCACAUAUCCUCAUCUGUGGCUUCCAGCCAUGCCAUGAAGAGUAUCUAUCCUCAAUUCUUGAGCCUAGAAGGUGCACAUGGAUUGGUGAUUCCUGCCCUGCUCUUGCUGGUGGGAGCUUCCAGCUUCCCAUGGUGAUUUCAACCUCUUCUGCAUGACUGCUUGAGGAAAAUGUACCUCGAUUCAGACAGCAGAGAUCUUCCAUUUUACCUCUAGUUUAGGAUAAUGUUUAGACUAACAUAAAAACAUCUCAUAGAUGGGUGAUUCAGAAUGAAAAUAAAACUGCUGGCUUCAAAUUACA